rnacentral:rRNA from 1 species
GACGAACACUGGCGGCGUGCCUAAUACAUGCAAGUCGACCUUAGUGGCGACCGGGUGAGUAACACGUGGGUAUCCUGCCCAUCAGAAGGGGCUAACACUUGUACACAGGUGCUAAUUCCUUAUACCGAUGGCUGGACCCGCGGUGCAUUAGCUAGUUGGUGAGGUAACGGCGCCCCAAGGCCACGAUGCAUAGCCGACCGGAGAGGGUGAUCGGCCACAUUGGGACGGAGACAGGGCCCAAACGCCUACGGGAGGCAGCAGUAGGGAAUCUUCGGCAAGGGACGAAAGUCUGACCGAGCAACGCCGCGUGAGUGAAGAAGGUUUUCGGAUCGUAAAACUCUGUUGUUAGAGAAGCGGUAUCUAACCAGAAAGCCACGGCUAACUACGUGCCAGCAGCCGCGGUAAUAC